GUGGAAGCCUGCGGUGGGGACAAGCUUGGCUCUCCAUCCCUAGUGGGUGGAGCCUCUUGGACUUCUGGGAUUUGAGGACCAGAACCAGAGUGGAAGCUCAGGGAGAGGCUCUGGGUCUCAUGCAUGGAAAAUCUGAAGGGUUGGCCCGUGACCUCCAAGUGCAGAGCAGAAGUGGCUACAGAGCCUCAGCAUCUCCAAGCUGGCUUCCGAGCUAAGCCACAGCAUUGAUAGCACAGUUCAAAUGCAAAGCUGAAGUCUGUGUGGUGGAGACCAUGAUCAUAGAGAAUGGGGUGGCUGUUAUCCUGGAGUGAGGGUCAGGAACUUCCUCAUUGCUGCUGAAGGUUGCCUAGAGUCCUCAGUAAGAGCAACUUGCAAAAGAGAUAUGGGAAAACUGAAGUAUGUCUACAUUCAUGGAGUUCCCAGGAAAUCGCCAUCAGGACAAGCUUCCUUGGGCUGACUUUGGGAGGCAAGCCCCGGGCCGGCCUGGCUGCCCUCCACCAAACAAUGCACACAUGUUCCGGAGAAUUCCUUCCUCGCCUAAUCCGGGCUGGGAAGAAAGGGGCUUUUCUUCUUGUCGUCAAAGGGGAUCUUCGAUGCUAAGAUACCAUUUUGUGUCUCAAGUCAUGUCACGGGACUUCUGCCUCGGCCUCGCUGCCUGCUCUUUAGAAAUGAAGGACACAGUCCUUGAUUCACCUCGAGACAAGUGCCCUCCCCUCCACCCCGGCACAUAAAAGAAGGCUGGGGAGCAAGAGAAGCAAGGGAAGUGCCCCGCUCCCACUGUUCCUUUCUCAUCUUGGCAACCUCGGCGCUCUGGACUGUUUGCCCAAAGGAUGAGUAGGGAGGACUGAGCCUCACCUGCUGAUCUCAAGGGUCAUGAAUAUUCUUAUAAUCCCCGAGGAAGAAGGGCCUUUCAUUAGAGGAGUCUGUCCAGGAGGCCUGGAGCCUCAUCACCUCCACCACCAGUUCAGUCUCUUCUGCUUCCUGGUUCUGGUCUGCAGACUGCCCUCCCUACCCUCUGCCUCCCGGUUCUGCAGGCUGCAGAUGCUG
rnacentral:lncRNA from 1 species